GUGGAUUAGAUACCCGGGUAGUCCUAGCCGUAAACGAUGUGAACUUGGCGCUGGGUGGGUAAAACUAUUCAGUGCCGUAGCUAACGCGAUAAGUUCACCACCUGAGGACUACGGCCGCAAGGUUAAAACUCAAAGGAAUUGACGGGGGCCCGCACAAGCAGCGGAGCGUGUGGUUUAAUUCGAUGCUACACGAAGAACCUUACCAGGGCUUGACAUGGUUGUGGUAGUGAAGCGAAAGCGGAACGACCCUUCGGGGAGCAAUCACAGGUGCUGCAUGGCCGUCGACAACU
rnacentral:rRNA from 1 species